UUGCUUUUUGAUAGGGUAAAAAGUAGGUCCUGCCCCCUGAUAAGUUAAAGGGCCGCAGUAUUAUGACUGUGCAAAGGUAGCAUAAUCAGUAGCUUUUUAAUUGAAGGCUGGAAUGAAAGGAUGUACGUAAACUCCGUUGUCUCUUAUUAAUUGGUAAAAUUUAAUUUUAUAGUAAAAAAGCUAUAAUUAUUUAGAAGGACGAGAAGACCCUAUGAAGCUUUAUAUAGAGGGAUUAUUUAGGAAAUGGGUUAAUAAAUUGGAUUGGGGUGAUAUUAAAAUAAAUAAACUUUUAUGAUUUAAACAAAGCAAUAAUUGAUUAGAAGAUCUUAAGUUACAAGAAGAGUAAGUUACUCUAGGGAUAACAGCGUAAUUUUUUCAGAGAGUUCAUAUUGAUGAAAAAGUGUGCGACCUCGAUGUUGAAUUAGAGAAUCUAUUUAAAGUAAAGUUUAAAUAUUUGGGUCUGUUCGACCUAUUAUAUUCUA
rnacentral:rRNA from 1 species